GGCUAAGCGUCUGCACACGCUAGGUCCGCAGGGCGCUGACCCCUGGGGGCCCGAGGAGCGCCGGGCUGCUGCCCCGAGCCCCGCCCACUACAGCCUCAGUGCAUGGCGGUGGGCGCUUCCAGUAACUCAGGGGUGGGACUUUUUUCUUGCUCAGGGGAUGAGGCCGAGCCCACAGGCUUAGAAAGAAGGAACUUGAGUCCGGGCACCUGUCAUCCCAGCGCUUAGGGAGGCCGAGGCGGGUGGAUCACCUGAGGUCAGGAGUUCGAGACCAGCCUGGCCAAUAUGGCGAAACCCCCGUCUCUACUAAAAAUACAAAAAUUAGCCGAGCAUGGUGGCAUGCACUUCCAGCUACUUGGAAGGCUGAGGCGGGAGAAUGGCUUGAACCUGGGAGGCGAGGGUUGCAGUGAGCUGAGAUCGCACCACUGCACUCCAGCCUGGGUGACAGAGCGAGACUUCGUCUCAAAAAAAAAGAAGAAGAAAGAAGGAAGCUGAGGUUCAGACAGGCUAAGUCCCUACUGCAGGCUGCGGAAUCUAAAAAGGUCAUGAACUCUGAGAGUUUGAGAUGAGCCUCUAAAAGCUGUAUCAAUAGCACCUUGCACUGUUGAAGCAGGUAAGUGUUUUCCUUGUUACUUCUUAAGUUCAGUUGGAAACCCAACAUAGCAAAUCCUCUAGAAUGCAGCUGAAGCAGUACUAAGGCUGGGUGUGGUGGCUCAUGCCUAUAAUCCUGUAGGGAGGCAAAAGCGGGAGGAUUGCUGGAGCCCAGGAGUUCAAGACCAGCCUGGGCAACACGGCAAGACCUGGUUCUCCACAAAAAGGAAAAAAAAAUGCUAAGAGGCAAGUAUAUAGCAAUAAACUCCUACAUCAAAAAAGUAGAAACAUUUCAAAUAAGAGAUUGGGGGCAGUGGCUCAUGCCUGUAAUCCUAGCACUUUUGGAGGCCGAGGUGGGUAGAUUGCUUGAGACCAGGAGUUCGAGACCAGCAUGGGCAACAUAGCGAGACCCUGUCUCUACAAAAAAUCAGAAAAUUAGCCAGGCGUGGUGGUGCAAGCCUGUAGCCCCAGCUACUCGGGAGGCUAGGGUGGGAGGAUUGAUUGAGCCUUUGAGGUAGAGGUUGCAGUGAGCUGAGAUUGUGCCAUUGCAUUCCAGCCUGGGUGACAGAGCUAGACCCUGUCUCAAAAAAAGAAAGAGAGAAAGAAAGAGAAAUAAAUAAAGAGAGAAAGAAAGAAAAGAAAGAAAACAAACAAGGAAGGAAGAAAGAAAAAGAAAGAGAAAGAAAGAAAGAAAAAGAAAAAGAAAGAAAGAAAGACUUCAAUAACCUAAGGAUGCACCUCAAGAAUCUAGGAAAGCGAGAACAAACCAAACCCAAAAAUUAGUAGAAGAAAGUAAAUAAAGCGCAGAGCAGAAACAAAUAAGAUUGAGACCAAAAAAAUACAUAAAAGAUCAAUGAAAAAAAAAUUGCUUUUACAUCAUGGUCUUGACCUUGCAGGGAUGGCCCCUCCCAGUUUUAGCCAAUUUCUCGAGUGAUAAAUAACUUGCUUGAGAGCAUGCCUUUUAUAUAUAAACCACCAAUCCAGAGCCCACAUCCCACCCACUCUCUAACAGGGCGCUAUACUCACCCCAGGGCCAGGUAUCACACCACUAAGAACAGCCCUUUUCCCCAGAUCCCACUGAGGUUAUCCAAAGUGACCAGCCCUAACCUAUGAAAUCUGCCUCACUUCUUCCUUUCCACAGAAACUAUAGCAAAGUCUUGUCCACACCCACAUUUCACUCACCUCCUUCUGACUCCUGGCAGAUCCUGGCGCUUUCCCCAUGGGGCUGCCUGAGCUGAGACGGGCUCUCUUCUCCUGGAAACUGAGUAACACAAUUUAUUUCAAUGACAGUCACUUCCUCAUCUGUUGGCCUCAGCGUACCUCCAAUUUUCCAUUACACAAUAAAUGGAAAAUAAUAUAGGCCGGGUGUGGUGGCUCACGCCUGUAAUCCCAGCACUUUGGGAGGCCGAGGUGGGUGGAUCACCUGAGGUCAGGAGUUUGAGACCAGCCUGACCAGCAUGGCGAAACCCCAUCUCUACUAAAAAUAGAAAAAUUAGCUGAGCUUCGUGGCUGGAGCCUGUAGUCCCAGAUACUUGGGAGGCUGAGCCAGGAGAAUUGCUUGAACUCAGAAGGCAGAGGUUGCAGUGAGCCGAGAUCAUGCCGCUGCACUCUAGCCUGGGAGACAGAGCGAGACUCCAUCUCAGAAAAAAAAAAAAAAAAGAAAAUUGAAUUGGGCCAGCCCCUCCACACCUGUGGGUAUUUCUCAUCAGGUGGGACGAGAGACUGAGAAAAGAAAUGACACAGAGACGAAGUAUAGAGAAAGAACAGUGGGCCCAGGGGACCAGCGCUCAGCAUACAGAGGACCCGCACUGGCGCCAGCCCCUGAGUUCCCUCAGUAUUUAUUGAUCAUUAUUUUUACUAUCUUAACAAGGGGAGCGUAGAAGGACAACAGGUGGGGAGAAGGUCAGCAGGGAAACGUGCGCAAAGGAAUCUGUAUCAUGAAUAAGUUCAAGGAAAGGUACCGUGGCUGGAUGUGCACGUAGACUAGAUUUAUGUUUCUCUUUACCCAAACAUCUCAGUGUAGCAAAGAGUCACAGAGCAGUAUUGCUGCCAGCAUAUCUCACCUCCAGCCACAGGGCGGUUUUCUCCUAUCUCAGAAUAGAACGAAUGGGAAUGAUCGGCUUUACACCCAGAUAUUCCAUUCCCAGGGACGAGCAGGAGACAGAAGCCUUCCUCUUAUCUCAACUGCAAAGAGGCCUCCCUCUUUCACUCCUCCUCCUCAGCACAGACCCUUUAAGGGUGUCCCGCUGGGGGAUAUAAGGUCUUUCCUUUCCCAUGAGGCCAUAUCUCAGGCUAUCUCAGUGAGGGGAAACCUUGGACAAUACCCAGGCUUUCUUGGGCAGAGGUCCGUGUGGCUUUCCGCAGUGCAUUGUGUCCCUGGUUAAUCGAGACUGGAGAAUGGCGAUGACUUUUACCAAGCAUACUGCCUGCAAACAUAUUGUUAACAAGGCACAUGCUGUACAGCCCUA
rnacentral:lncRNA from 10 species